rnacentral:rRNA from 1 species
AGCGAACGCUGGCGGCAGGCCUAACACAUGCAAGUCGAACGAACUCUUCGGGCUUAGUGGCGGACGGGUGGGUAACACGUGGGAACGUGCCUUUAGGUUCGGUAUAACUCAGGGAAACUUGUGCUCAUACCGAAUGUGCCCUUCGGGGGAAAGAUUUAUCGCCUUGAGAGCGGCCCGCGUCUGAUUAGCCAGUUGGUGAGGUAAAGGCUCACCAAGGGGACGAUCAGUAGCUGGUCUGAGAGGAUGAUCAGCCACAUUGGGACUGCGACACGGCCCAAACUCCGACGGGAGGCAGCAGUGGGGAAUCUUGCGCAAUGGGCGAAAGCCUGACGCAGCCAUGCCGCGUGAAUGAUGAAGGUCUUAGGAUUGUAAAAUUCUUUCACCGGGGACGAUAAUGACGGUACCCGGAGAAGAAGCCCCGGCUAACUUCGUG